CUGGCGGCCGAGUCUGAUGGCUUCUCACUUCACAGCAGGUUUCCCCAGUCACCUGGGGCUCAGAAACGCUCGGCAUGUUUCUGGCUAUGCCUGCUUCCUCGUCUGGCCCUGGCGUCCUCUUUCAAAUCAGGAAAGAGAUGGAAAGAAACUGUCUUGCUACUCCUGCCAUCAUCCAGCUCUUCAUCCUCCUGAUGGUGAUUUCAUGCAGAGGUCCUGGGUGACACGUACCGCCCUGUGAAGGGGCCUCCGCCUCUGCCCUUGAGGAAGCUUGGAGGACACGCGGGCUCUGGACCGACAGCAGCGGAACAGGGAGCAGGGGGUGUGGGGGAACUUGGGGUCUAAGCCACGGUAGCAGCACCGCACAUGCCCUGAGGGGGCCCAGCCUCGGGGUUUAGACCAGAGUCUGGAGACCGCCGAGGCUCCCUCCUGGUGGCCCUGCUGCUCCCGUUCCAGGAAAGCCUCACUUGUGGACCAGGCCGCAUUUCCAGACCCCUGGAGCCCGGGUGGGUCUCUCAAAACUUCCCAGAGUGGCGCCCCAGGAAGCCAUCAUGGGUCAGCCUGGGCGGGUGGGUGACUCGGACUGUAUUUGCCUCAGCUAAUCUAACCCACGGGGAGCUACUGAGGAGUUCUGAUUAGGGGAGUAAUCUGAGCGGUGCUUUAGUGAGGCCAACUGAGCAGGAGAGAUGGAGGUGCCUGGAGGCCGGACCAUAGUCCAGGCUGUCGGCUUUGAUGGUCGUCCUGGUAACGGCGAGGACCGCUGGGCAGUGGGGGGGUCGGGUGCGGAGUAGUGCAUGGGU
rnacentral:lncRNA from 1 species